AAAGCACCUAGUGAUUUGGCCUGUGACCCUCUAGCACAAUGUUUUGCAGGUCCAGUUGAACAUGACAUGUUUUCAUUGGAAAGGCACAUUUAUAGUACCUAAUGACAGCCCAUGUCAAGUGGCAUUUUUGACAAAUCAGUUUCCUUUAGACUACACCUUCAAGCCACUUAAGGUUGCGUUUACAACAAAAAUUUAUCAUCUAAAUAUCAACAGUAAUGGCAGCAUUUAUCUUGAUAAUCUCAGAUCACAGUGUCUCCUGCUUUAACUAUUUCUAAUGUUCAUUUAUCCAUUUGUUCACUGCUAUGUGAUCCAAACCCUGAUGACCUCCUAGUGCCAGAGACUGCACAGAUCUAAAACAAAUAGUGAUAAAUACAACAGAAUAUCUUGGGAAUGGACUCAGAAGUAUGCCAUGUGA
rnacentral:lncRNA from 1 species